ensembl:lncRNA
AGAUAACUCAUUUUGCUAUUUAAAUCCGUGACUACGAAAAAACAAAUUAUCGUUAGAUCAUUGCUGAGAUAGAUUUUACUAAGAAGGAUAAAAUAAUGUGUUCUGCAGUUCGCAAAUGGUCUAAAUGAAUCAGUUGAUGCUAUCCACUGCAUCAGCUGAAACAAUACGAUUACCAACACUGCUAAAUAUGCUUAUUACCAUAUAUAACUUUUAGCGCUUUGGUAAAGACCAAGUACAUAGUCAGUCACACCACCUUCAGCCGGCACAAUGUGGGCAUUUCCACUGGUUAUGCUACUUUUCGGGAUGAAGGUGUCCAGUAAUUUGUUUUGUAUCUCAGUGACAGCAGCAUCAUUUUCAUCACACUGCAGUAAUCCACGUGUCUCAUGGUAGAAAACGUUGACAUGCAACACAACAUUGGCGUGAACAUCCCAUGUUUUCAUAGUUGACGUUGCCUUGACUUGGUGUGUGUGGUGCAUCAACACCAGAAUGACCGGUUUAUCAUCUGAGCACAACAAGAGAGAGACGUUAGCAAAAGAUCAUCCUUUACCAACACAUCAAUA